AUUGAACGCUGGCGGCAGGCCUAACACAUGCAAGUCGAACGAGUGGCGGACGGGUGAGUAAUGUCUGGGAAACUGCCUGAUGGAGGGGGAUAACUACUGGAAACGGUAGCUAAUACCGCAUACCAUCGGAUGUGCCCAGAUGGGAUGAGCUAGUCGGUGGGGUAAAGGCUCACCUAGACGACGAUCCCUAGCGGGUCUGAGAGGUGGACCAGCACCACUGGAAACUAGACCAGGUCCGGAUUCCUAAGGGAGGCAGACGUGGGGAAUAUUGCAAAAUGGGCGCAAGCCUGAUGCAGCCAUGCCGCGUGUAUGAAGAAGUCCUUCGGGUUGUAAAGUACUUGCAGCGGGGAGGCGUUACCCGCAGAAGAAGCACCGGCUAACUCCGUGCCAGCAGCCGCGGUAAUUC
rnacentral:rRNA from 1 species